ensembl:lncRNA
AAGUAAAUUUUACAAUCUUCAGUGAUCCAUUGAGUUGGGACUGUCUAGAUUCCAGAAGAGUACUGAUAGCACCUAGGACCAAAUUUUCAUUGGGCACUGACGACAAGGAUGAGAAUACCAAUAUGGUUGUGACUGUUGCUGCACCAGUCACAUUUGUUGACAAUGUUUUGGGUAUGUUUGAAGUUUCUGGUUGCAAACUUGAAGUACUUUGAAGUGUUGCAGAUGCAUCUGCUUUUGUUGCAUUGUUUAGAGGUGUAGUAUUGCUAGAAAGAGUUUCAGCUGGUGUUGUUUUGAUUGAUGAUUGACUUGGAAUUGUAGAUGCUGGGGAUGUUGAUGCAUUUGUGUUUGAAACUGAUGUUAUUGGAGCUAUUGGAAAUUCUGCUGCACUGGUGAGACCUGUAUUAAUUCCAGUUGUAGUUGUUGAUGCAGUUGUAGUUUCUGAAUCCAUGUUUGGGAUUGGAGUUGUUUUGGUUGAAAGUGCAAGUGUGGCUGGAGCAGAAGAUGUGUUGGUAAAAGCUACAGUUGUUCUUAAAAGAUCUCCUGUUGUUACUUGAAAUGCAGUUGUUGUUUGAGCUGCAGUUGAACUUGGAAUAGUGGCUGUUGUUGUGGUUGGAGCUGUAGUUGAGAUAUCAGCUGGAACUGUAGUGGUGGGAAGAACAGUCAUGGUUGUAAUGGGUGUAGUUGGGGUUCUUGGAGGUUCAGUUGUUUUUAUUGGAGUUAAAGUUGGGGAUAUAGUUACAUGUGAUGAUGAGAUAGGCAUAAUUGUUACAGCAAUAGUUACAGUCUCCGGAGACACAGUUGUGAUAAUUGGAGGUGCAUUUGUUGUGGUAAGGAGUCCUGCUUGGCUUAGAGCUGGAGCUGUAUUAGUGAAAGCAAUAGUUGUGGUUGAUAGAGGUGCAGUUGUUAUUCGGAAUGCAGUUGUUGUUGCCGCUGUAGGUGUGUUUGUGCCUGGAAUUGAAGUUGAGGUUUGAGAUGGAUUUUCUGUUGUGGGAUAGUUAUUCGUAGAAGAGGAAGCUGUAAUGGUGGAUGUUGCAGGUGCAGGAGUACUUUCUGAAGUUGUAGACAUUGUUGGUGAAGUAAGAGUUGAGGUUUCAGUAGUUGUGGCUGGGGUUAAACUUGAUGUAGUAGUUGAAUAUUCCAUCAUGGUUGUGGAAUCUGUGGUUACAGCAGGUGAAGUUAUACUUUCUGAAUUUGUGUUCGGACCUUUUGAUGUUGUACUUGCAGCCUUAGGUGUGGUUUGAUCUGAUGUAGAAGUGGAAGGAAUGGUUGUGGUGAUGGAAGCUGUAGUUGUGGUUGUUGCAAGAGAAGCUGCUGUUGUCGUUGAAGCUACAGUGGUAGUUGUGGACGUUGUAGUUAUCGAUGUUGUUGGUGCAGUUGUGGUUUCUGAAGUCAUUUUGGUGAUUGUGAGUGUUUCAGUAGUUGCAGGUGCAAGUGGCAUUGUGGUUUGAGCUGUUGUUGCACUUGGAGCUUCAGAUGACAUUGGAGCUGAUGUCAUAGAGGAAGGUACAUUUAUAGAUGAGGAAGCUGUAGUUACUGAUGUUGUUACAGGUGCAGAUGUUUCUGAAGAUGUAGCCAUUGUUGUUGAAAUUACAGCUGUUGAUGUUGUUGGAUAAUUAGUUGCUGUACCUCGAGAUUCAGAUGAGGUUGGAGAUGAUGAUGUAGUAGUAGAAUGCACUAUCGCAGCUGAGGAAGCUGUAGAUGUUGAAGAUGCAGUUGUAAUUUCGGAAGCUGUAGUCACAGUAGUGGAUGGCCCCACUGUGGCUGUGGAAGCUGCAGUUGUGCUUGCUGCAGGUGUAGUUGUACUUUCUGAUGUUGUAGGCAUUGUUGUAGACGUAAGAGUUGUUGCUCCUGAAGUCACAACAGUGGAUGUGAGAGCUCCAGUAGAUGUGGUUGCAAGCAGCAAUGUGGUUUUAGAUGUUGUUGUACUUGGAGCUUCAGAUGACAUUGGAGCUGAUGUCAUAGAGGAAGGUACAGUUGUAGGUGAGGAAGCUGUAGUUACUGAUGUUGUUACAGGUGCAGUUGUUUCUGAAGAUGUAGGCACUGUUGUUGAAGUGAGAGUUGAGGAUUCUGAAGUUACAGCUGUUGAUGUUGUUGGAGUGUUCUUUGCUGUAAAUAUAGUUGAUGAAGCCGUAGUCAUAGCUUCUGCCGUUGUACUCUCUGAAGUUGUAGGCACCACUGUCGAAAUGAUAGGUGUGGUUUCUGUUCUCACAACCGUGGUUGUGGGAAUAUAGGUUUUUGAGGAUACUGUAGUUACUGAUGUUACAGUUGCAGUAGAUUCUGAAGAUGUAGGCUUAGCUGUUGAAGUAAGAGUUAUGGAUUCAGUACUCACAACUGUGGUUGUGGGAAUUUCAGUAGUUGAGGAUGCUGUAGUUACUGAUUUUGUUAGAGGUGUAGUUGUUUCUGAAGAUGUAGCUAUAACUGUUGAAGUAGGAGUUGUAGAUUCAGAAGUUACAAAUGUUGAUGUUGUUGGAUUGUUCGUUUUUGUAGGUGUGGUUGAUGAAGCUGUAGUCAUGGUUUCAGCUGUUGUACUCUUCAAAGUUGUGGGCAACACUGUUGAAGUAAUAGGUGUGGUUUCUGUACUCACAGCUGUGGUUGUGGAAAUUUUGAUAGUUGAGGAUGCUUUAGUUACUGAAGUUGUUACAGGUGCAGUUGUUUCUGAAGAUGUAGGCAAUGUUGUUGAAGUGAGAGUUGAGGAUUCUGAAGGUAUAACUGUUGAUGUUGUUGGAUUGUUUGUUGUUGCAGGUGUGGAUGAUGAAGCUGUAGUCGUGGUUUCUGCUGUUGUACUCUCUGAAGUUGUAGGCACCACUGUUGAAGUAAUAGGUGUGGUUUCUUUACUCACAACUGUGCUUGUGGGAAUUUCAGAAGUUGAGGAUGCUGUAGUUACUGAUGUUUUUACAGGUGCAGUUGUUUCUGAAGAUGUAGGCAAUGUUGUUGAAGUGAGAGUUGUGGAUUCUGAAGGUACAACUGUUGAUGUUGUUGGAUUGUUUGUUGUUGCAGGUGUGGAUGAUGAAGCUGUAGUCGUGGUUUCUAGUGUUGUACUUUCUGAAGUUGAAUGCACCACUGUUGAAGUAAUAGGUGUGGUUUCUGUACUCAUAACUGUGGUUGUGAGAAUUUCAGUAGUUGAGGAUGCUUUAGUUACUGAAGUUGUUACAGGUGCAGUUGUUUCUGAAGAUGUAGGCAAUGUUGUUGAAGUGAGAGUUGAGGAUUCUGAAGGUAUAACUGUUGAUGUUGUUGGAUUGUUUGUUGUUGCAGGUGUGGAUGAUGAAGCUGUAGUCGUGGUUUCUAGUGUUGUACUUUCUGAAGUUGAAUGCACCACUGUUGAAGUAAUAGGUGUGGUUUCUGUACUCACAACUGUGGUUGUAGGAAUUUCAGUAGUUGAGGAUGCUGUAGUUACUGAAGUUGUUACAGGUGCAGUUGUUUCUGAAGAUGUAGGCACUGUUUUUGAAGUGAGAGUUGUGGAUUCUGAAGUUACAAAUGUUGAUGUUGUUGGAUUGUUUGUUGUAAGUGUGGUUGAUGAAGCUGUAGAUGUGGUUUCUGUACUCAUAACUGUGGUUGUGAGAAUUUCAGUAGUUGAGGAUGCUUUAGUUACUGAAGUUGUUACAGGUGCAGUUGUUUCUGAAGAUGUAGGCAAUGUUGUUGAAGUGAGAGUUGAGGAUUCUGAAGGUAUAACUGUUGAUGUUGUUGGAUUGUUUGUUGUUGCAGGUGUGGAUGAUGAAGCUGUAGUCGUGGUUUCUAGUGUUGUACUUUCUGAAGUUGAAUGCACCACUGUUGAAGUAAUAGGUGUGGUUUCUGUACUCACAACUGUGGUUGUAGGAAUUUCAGUAGUUGAGGAUGCUGUAGUUACUGAAGUUGUUACAGGUGUAGUUGUUUCUGAAGAUGUAGGCACUGUUGUUGAAGUAAUAGUUGUGUAUUCAGAAGUUACAGCUGCUGAUAUUGGAUUGAUUGUUGUUGUAAGAGUGGUUGAUGAAGCUGUAGUCGUGGUUUCUGGUGUUGUACUUUCUGAAGUUGUAGGCACUGUUGUUGAAGUGAUAGUUGUGUAUUCAGAAGUAACAGCUGUUGAUGUUGGAUUGUUUGUUGUUGAAAGUGUGGUUGAUGAAGCUGUAUUCGUGGGUUCUGCUGUGGUACUCUCUGAAGUUGUGGGCACCACUGUUGAAGUAAUAGAUGUGGCUUCUGAACUCAGAACUGCGCUUGUGGGAAUUUCAGUAGUUGAGGAUGCUGUAAUUACUGAUGUUGUUACAGUUGCAGUUUUUUCUAUAGAUGUAGGUACUGUUCUUGAAGUUAGAGUUGUAGAUUCUGAAGUUACAAAUGUUGAUGUUGUUGGAUUGCUCGUUGUUGUAGGUGUGGUUGAUGAAGCUGUAGUCGUGGUUUCUGCUGUUGUACUCUCUGAAGUUGUAGGCACCACUGUUGAAGUAACAGAUGUGGUUUCUGAACUCACAGCUGUGCUUGUAGGAAUUUCAGUAGUUGAGGAUGCUGUAGUUACUGACGUUGUUACAGGUGCAGUUGUUUCUAUAGAUGUAGGCAAUGUUGUUGAAGUGAGAGUUGUGGAUUCAGAAGUUGCAGCUAUUGAUCUUGUUGGAUUGUUUGUUGUUGUAGGAGUGGUUGAUGAAGCUGUAGUCGUGGUUUCUACUGUUGUACUCUCUGAAGUUGUAGGCACCACUGUUGAAGUAGUAGAUGUGGAUUCUGAACUCAAAACUGUGGUUGUGGGAAUUUCAAUAGUUGAGGAUGCUGUAGUUACUGAUGUUGUUACAGGUGCAGUUGUUUCUAUAGAUGUAGGCAAUGCUGUUGAACUGAGAGUUGUGGAUUCUGAAGCUACAGCUGUUGUUGUUGUUGGAGUGUUUGUUGUUGAAGGAGUGGUUGAUGAAGCUGUAGUCGUGGUUUCUACUGUUGUACUCUCUGAAGUUGUAGGCACCACUGUUGAAGUAGUAGAUGUGGAUUCUGUACUCACAACUGUGGUUGUGGGAAUGUCAGUAGUUGAGGAUGCUGUAGUUAUAACUGUUGAAGUAAGAGUUGUAGAUUCUGAAGCUACAGCUGUUGUUGUUGUUGGAUUGUUUGUUGUUGAAGGAGUGGUUGAUGAAGCUGUAGUCGUGGUUUCUACUGUUGUACUCUCUGAAGUUGUAGGCACCACUGCUGAAGUAGUAGAUGUGGAUUCUGUACUCACAACUGUGGUUGUGGGAAUUUCAGUAGUUGAGGAUGCUGUAGUUAUAACUGUUGAAGUAAGAGUUGUAGAUUCAGAAGUUACAGAUGUUGAUGUUGUUGGAUUGUUUGUUGUUGUAGGAGUGGUUGAUGAAGCUGUAGUCGUGGUUUCUACUGUUGUACUCUCUGAAGUUGUAGGCACCACUGUUGAAGUAGUAGAUGUGGAUUCUGUACUCACAACUGUGGUUGUGGGAAUUUCAGUAGUUGAGGAUGCUGUAGUUACUGAUUUUGUUAGAGGUGUAGUUGUUUCUGAAGAUGUAGCUAUAACUGUUGAAGUAGGAGUUGUAGAUUCAGAAGUUACAAAUGUUGAUGUUGUUGGAUUGUUCGUUUUUGUAGGUGUGGUUGAUGAAGCUGUAGUCAUGGUUUCUCCUGUUGUACUCUCUGAAGUCGUAGGCACCACUGUUGAAGUAAUGGAUGUGGUUUCUGAACUCACAACUGUGGUUGUGGGAAUUUCAGUACUUGAGGAUGCUGUAGUUACUGAUGUUGUUACAGGUGUAGUUGUUUCUUUAGAUGUAGGCAAUGUCGUUGAAAUGAGAGUUGUGGGUUCUGAAGUUACAGCUUUUGAUGUUGUUGGAGCAUUUGUUGUUGUAGGAGUGGUUGAUGAAGCUGUAGUUGUGGUUUGUACAGUGGUGGUUUCUACAGUUGUACUCUCUGAAGUUGUAGGCAUCACUUUUGAAGUUGUAGAUGUGGAUUGUGUACUCACAACUGUGGUUGUGGGAAUUUCAGUAGUUGAGGAGGCUGUAGGUAUAACUGUUGAAGUAAGAGUUGUAGAUUUAGAAGUUACAGAUGUUGAUGUUGUUGGGUUGUUUGUUGUUGUAGGUGUGGUUGAUGAAGCUGUAGUCGUGGUUUCUGCUGUUGUACUCUCUGAAGUUGUAGGCACCACUGUUGAAGUAAAAGAUGUGGAUUCUGAACUCACAACUUUGGUUGUGGGAAUUUCAGUACUUGAUGAUGCUGUAGUUACUGAUGUUGUUACAGGUGCAGUUGUUUCUAUAGAUGUAGGCACUGUUGUGGGAGUGAGAGUUGUGGAUACUGAAGCUGCAGCUGUUGAUGUUGUUGGAUUGGUUGUUGUUGUAGGAAUGGUUGAUGAAGCUGUAGUCGUGGUUUCUGCUGUUGUACUCUCUGAAGUUGUAGGCAUCAUUGUUGAAGUAAUAGAUGUGGUUUCGAUCGCCACAACUG